GACAGAGGUGGCAAGCGUUGUUCGGAUUUAUUGGGUGUAAAGGGUGCGUAGGUGGUUAUUUAAGUUAGCUGUGGAAUUCCUGGGCUUAACCUAGGGUAGUCAGCUAAGACUGUAUAACUUGAGUAUAGGAGAGGGUAGUGGAAUUUCCGGUGUAGCGGUGAAAUGCGUAGAGAUCGGAAGGAACACCAGUGGCGAAGGCGGCUACCUGGCCUGAUACUGACACUGAGGCACGAAAGCGUGGGGAGCAAACAGGAUUAGAAACCCUUGUAGU
rnacentral:rRNA from 1 species